rnacentral:rRNA from 1 species
CACGUAGGGGGCAAGCGUUGUCCGGAUUUAUUGGGCGUAAAGAGCUCGUAGGUGGUUCGGUAAGUCAGGUGUGAAACCUCCAGGCUCACCCUGGAGACGCCACUUGAUACUGCUGUGACUGGAGUCCGGUAGGGGAGCGUGGAAUUCCUGGUGUAGCGUGAAAUGCGCAGAGUAUCAGGAGGAACACCAGCGGCGAAGGCGGCGCUCUGGGCCGGUACUGACACUGAGGAGCGAAAGCGUGGGUAGCAAACAGGG